CGAAGGCCAGUAUCCCAGCUGCUGGCCUACGUUCACAUCCUAAAGGCCACACCUUCCCACCCGAAGCCCUCCAGGCCAGCCACCGGAGACAAGGGGGCACCCUGCCCACCCCAGGCACAGCCAAGACCUCAGAAUGACAGAGAGCUCCGCGCUUCUAAAGGACUCAGUGCCCACAGAGAGGAAGUCCACGUGGAGGACCACGGAGGAGAGGCGGCUGUCCGACCUCACACGGGUGCUGGAGUGGCUGCAACGCAGGCAGGGGAAGAAAGUUUUCCGGAAAUCCAAGUUAGCGGUACCCCCUAAAACAACGGGGAAGGAAGAAAAGCAAGGUGAAGGCGUCCAGACACAGGAGAAAGAGACCCACCAGGUACCCUUCUCUGAGAAGAAAAUCCCUGAGCAAGGCCCCAAGAAGAACAAGGACCAAAAAAAGAUCUACGUCGUGGACCCCAAGGGAAGACGCCUCGGCCUGGUUUCUGGCAGCUUCUCCAGGGACAAGCCCCGGAAAUCCGAAAUAGACAGCGCCCUGGAGUCCACGCAGAGGUCCAUGCCACACCAUCGGCAGAGCAUGCUCGACCCCAUGCUGCAGGACCCUCUCUUUAGCUCUCGAAAGUCGACGCUCUUGAGAGACUGGGUGAUAACCAGGAUGCCCGAGAUCUUCUAUGAGCGCAAGCUGAAGAGCCUCAUGGAGAAGGGCACCGAGCCCAAGGUGGAGAUGGUGAAAAUGUUUAAGCCGGAGGAGGUGCUGAGCUGCCGGUACCUGAGGUUGUCCAAGAACAACAUUCGAACCUUGCUCAAGCUGUGCAAGGACGCGGGCAUGAACGUGGACAUCCACCCCCACAUGGUCGAAGCGGAGAUAGACACUAAAAAGCUGUUCACGCAAAUCUCCAGCGUGGCCCUCUAGGCUCCUCCCCCUCCAGGCCACCGCAGCCUCCUCUGCUGUUGGACCCCUGCCCACCGCCCCAUCAGAGUUGUCACCAGAUACAGAAACCGCACAUACUGGGAACAGAUUCACACAGGUACAGCCCCCUGUUUAUGGCAGAUGUGACCCUGAGGUGCAGUGGCGAAAAGACAAUCUUUUCAAUAAAUCAGGCUGGUCAAUUAAAUGUCCAUAUGGAAAAAAAUAUCAACCGUCUGCCUCUCACCAAAUGCAAAAAUCAGUUCCGGAUGGAUGCAGAUUGUGAAGGGUUUUAGAAGAAACAGAAGACAAUCCCCAUGACCUUGGGAUAGGCAAAAAAAAAAAUUUUAACACAAAAAGCCUCAGUAAGAAAAUAAAAUAUUAAUACGUUAGAUCAUAUUGCAAGUAAAACUUCCGCUCAUCAAAAGACAUCGGUGAGAGAGAGAGAGGCAAGUGACCCACGUAGGAGAAGGUAGAUCUGACAGAAGGCUCAUACGCAGACGAUGUUUCUUAACUCCCAUAAGUCAAUAUGGAAAAGGCGGGCAACGCGAUUAAAAAAUGGGCCAAAGUCUUGUGUGGGCACCUUACACAGGUGUUAGCUGAGUGACCUAUAAACAUAAGAAAUUUCAUUAGUUAUCAGGAAUGCAAAUAAAAAAUACAAGGCAAUACCACUAACACCCACCAGAAUGGACUAUGCCAAUAAUAGUGCACAAUGUAGAGCAAAAAACACUCAACAUGGCACUGGGAUGGUGGGUUGGCACAAUCGCUUUGGAAAACUGGCAAGACCUACAAAAAUUGCAUCUAUACCUAUGCUGUGGUCCAGUAUCCAUUCCUAGACACGCACGUCACAGGCUGGUGCAACUAUGUACAUCAGAAGACCGUCCUAGAAUGUCCACAGUGGCUUCAUUCAAUACAGCCGAAUACUGGACUGACCCAAACAUCCAUCAGCAGUAGAGAGAUUCACCAGCAGUGUGUUCCUACAGUGGAAUGCUGCAUAGAGACGAGAAUGAACAGCAUGGAUGCACGAAGCACACAAUGUCGUGCAAAAGUAGCAAGAGGCAGAAAGGACGGCUGUGUGCCACAGCCCCAGCCCAGGCAAGACGAAUCUACCGUGUUGGAAGCCAGGGUAGCGGCGGCCCCUGGAGGAGGUUGUGUCGUCGCUGGAGGGGCAUCUGAGGUGCUGGUUACACCGCUGUCACUUGUGGCAUUCAUUCGCUGUGUCCUUGGGAUUCGUGCCUUUUAGGCAGGUCUACAUACUUUAAUUAAAAGUGCAUUUUAAAAAAUAUA